GGGUCGGUAACUCAGUUGGUCAGAGUGAUACACUGAAAAUGUAUUGGUCGCGAGUUCGAAUCUCGCCCGUCCCA
rfam:Cronobacter phage vB_CsaM_GAP32, complete genome.